UACGAAGGGAGCUAGCGUUGUUCGGAAUCACUGGGCGUAAAGCGCACGUAGGCGGAUGUGUCAGUCAGGGGUGAAAUCCCGGAGCUCAACUUCGGAGCUGCCUUUGAUACAGCACGUCUCGAGUCCGGAAGAGGUGGGUGGAAUUCCUAGUGUAGAGGUGAAAUUCGUAGAUAUUAGGAAGAACACCGGUGGCGAAGGCGGCCCACUGGUCCGGUACUGACGCUGAGGUGCGAAAGCGUGGGGAGCAAACAGG
rnacentral:rRNA from 1 species